ACGGAGGAUGCGAGCGUUAUCCGGAUUUAUUGGGUUUAAAGGGUGCGUAGGUGGACUGUUUAGUCAGUGGUGAAAUGCUGAUGCUCAACGUUAGCAUUGCCGUUGAAACUGACAGUCUUGAGAGUGAUUGAGGCAGGCGGAAUGUGUGGUGGAGGGGAGAAAAACAAAGAUAUCACACAGAACCCCAAUGGCGAGGGCAUCUAACAAAGCCACAACUGACACUGAAGCACGAAAGCGUGGGGAUCAAACAG
rnacentral:rRNA from 1 species